GCCCGCAUGGCGCAGCUGGCAGCGCACGCCCUUGGUAAGGGCGAGGUCGCGUGUUCGAUCCACGCUGCGGGCACCA
rnacentral:tRNA from 1 species